CCAUUCUUAAUUAUCUUUUCAUAAAAUAUACUCCAUUCAUUUAUCUAUAGAUGUAUUUUAAAUGUUUUAAUAUCAUUAAAAUUAAAAACAUUAACAAAAGUUUUCUUUAAAAAAAAACAUACCUUACAAAUAGCGGUAGUGAUACAAUUUAAUUUUCACCAAUUAAUAGAAUAACAAGGAUGAUUAGAUCCUUCACCUUCACUUUGAGAGCGUUCUUGACUUUAUUCUCGUGUCCUUUGUCCAAAAAUAUAUCCAAAAAAAAAACAUUGUCACCUUGGUUUUCAUAUAAUUGAUAUUUAGAAUAUAUUUGAGGAGGGAGAUGCAUGAAAGGUGGAGGUGGAUGAUACAUUGGUGCUGGAGGAUGCAUGUGAGGCUGAUAUGGCACACCAUAAUUAGGAAAUAGUAGAUAAUAACCAUAUGGUUGUGAAUAACCAGGUGGAUGUUAAAAAUAUGAAGGUUUGUCCGGUGGAUAAAAACAUUGUGUGCUAGUGUCAUGGGUUGCGCAUACUCUAAGUCCAUGACACUAGUAGAUGAAUCACUAUACCCAAGGUUACUAGAACUCGAUCUCCUACCAAAUGAAUAGCCUAUAGAAGUAUGCUUCUUACCUUUUCUUUUAAUGGAGCUCUAGGUUUACUUCUAUCUCUCCUAGGUUCAGGAAAUAUAUUUCUAUUAAAUUUUGAUAUAUCACAGAAAUGUCCACUAAUGGUACUAACCCCAUAUUCUCCUCCAUACCGACUAGAAGACCUAAUUUCACCUCUAUGUCCAUGAUCAUCAUCAAUUGGACUUAAACCACCACCAUCAGGUCCAUCACCACUCUGACUUGGCAUUGCACUAGAACUUGAAUGAGACAAUUUUGUUAUUGAGCUUUAUUAACAUUUAUUUUAUCAUCAGAGGUAUCCACAUGCAACACACCAACAUUUUCACCAUCUAACAAUGAAUUCUCUUUCUCUUAAAGUCAUUCUGAUAGUGGAUCAACAUCUUCAAAGAUAUGAUCAAGGCUAAUAGGAUUAAAACUAGCAUUUAUAUCAUCAAUGCUCAUUCUUUUUUUAUGCCUUAUCUGAAGCUUCAUAUUAUAGUAGGUAAACACUAGUUUAUCAAAUUUUUUAUACUUCAACUCAUUUCUUGCCUUGAUGUGAAUAUAACUAAAUGUGUUCUAAUUUUGUUCGCAGUUUGAUGCAAAAGUUGUUUAACUAAGCACUUUAAUUGCUAAUAUUUAUAACUCAAGAACACAUGUCAUAUAUUAUCCACCACUCAGCUGCAUAAUAUUAUUUAAAUUUCAAAAUAACUUCAAAAUGUACAAUAUAAUUAAAUAAUUUAAUUAACUACUUACCCAGAUUCAUAUGCUUCCAAGCUCCUUGUGCUUGUGAAGUACCAAAUGUCUCAUAUUUAUCUUUAAAUAGUAACAACUAAAUAAAUAAAAAGAUAGUAAAAAUAAAAAAAAUAAUUCCAUUUCAAAUUAUGUAACUAAGUUAUAAAUAAUAGUACUUGAAUAUAACUUGAUUAACCAUUCUAACUUGAGUAUCAAAAGAAAGUUCUAAUCUUUCAAUUAUUGAUGUUGUACCUUCUAAUGUUUCUAUUACUACGUUCUAAGAAUGUUCCACCCCAAAUUGAAAUUGAGGAUUGAGAAAAUAACCUAAGCAUACUUUAUAAGAAUAUCAUCAAAUAAUAAUAAUCUAAAGCUUAAAAUAAUAAAAUAUAAAAAUAGUUCUUAAUUAUAUAAAACAUUUUAUCUUACCAGCUGAAUGCAAGUCAGAAUGCAUAAAAUUUCAUCUAUUGUCAGUAAUCUGUUCGUACUCGGUGAAAUAUCGACAAUCUUGUCGAAUUGCUCGUUUAGCUCUAUCAACAGCCUCAAAAAUAAAGUCUAUUGUUGGUUUUUCAUCACCAUCCACAAGUUUCAAUAAUUUUACUAGGGGCUCGUAAACUUUAAAAAAGAGCCACUGAUCUUUUUAAAAUCAUUAAAGGUUGUUAUAUUUAAGUAAUUAUAUUAACUAAUUAUAAAAUAUUUACAUUUAAAUUAAACAUUUCUCUCAUAUCUUACUUUUGUCUUGUUAUCUCUUCAAGUUAAUGAAAUGAUUUGCAAAUCGAGUAAGAGCAGGUCGAAGUAUUUAUUUCCCUUGUGAAUACUUCAUCAAAUCAAUAGUCCAAUUGUGAUUGUAUAUAACGCAAGUCACUUUCUUAGCCUCAUCUAACACUUUUUCUACGAUGAGUUUUUUCCCAAUAUCUUCAAGGAAUAAAUCUAAACAGUGAGUUACACAUGAGGUCCAAUAUAAAUGCUUUCUUUUCAACAUUAAUUUUUUCCAACAGCUUUCUCAAAUUUCUUCUACAACUAAAUAUAACAAACUGUAGUAGAAUUUAGCAUCUCUAUUAUGAACACUCGAGACAUCCACAGAUUUCUAAAAAACGGUUCCUUUACUGCAAUAAACAAGGAAACUAAUUAUGUGCAUUUGAUUCAAAUUGUUGGUCCAACCAUCACACAGUAGAGUUGCAUUCAAUUCUUUCCAUUGAGUCUUUAGUUCAUUUACCCAAUCACGAACUCAUUGACACUCUGACUUCAAAUACACAUUUAAAACCUCAUAAGGUGUUGAGAGCUUUACACCUUAUCCAACUUCUAUUGACACUUGAAUUAAGUUAUACAAUUAUGGAAAAGUUGCUAAUUGAAAAAACAUUCAUAUAUUAAAAAUUUAGAUAUCGUUUCACUUAUCUCCCUGCGUAAAGUCUUUAAAAAAAAGCCAUUAAUCUUUAGUUAUUUUGAGCUUUUGCUUUUAGCCAAUUCAAGUAUAACUCCCCUUAAGGUAAACUUAGACUCACUUAAGAUGGAUUUACUUAUUCUUUCUCUAUGAUAUUCUCCAAGUGAUCCAUGAGAAGAUUACUAUUCUUCAUAAAUGUUACUCCAAUCAUUAGUACUUCGUCUAAAAUUUUUCCUUCUAUACCACUCGUGUUGUGACAGGACACUUUUAAAUCGAUUAUCGACUUAUCGGUACAAGAAAUUUGUUCAAAAAAAGAAAAAACAAUCCAAACUCUAAACUUUCACACUCAAAUUUCACUAUCCAAACUCCAAACCAAACAAAAUCACAACACAAUUACAAAAUUCUCUAAAUAAAAUCUUUCAUAAAUUCAUAACUUUUAAGUACAUGAAUUUUUUUUUGUCUUAAUUCUUGCUUCUUUUUGUUGUAACAUGCAAAGAUUGACGAGAAAUUUUUGACAAAAUCUUUACAAAUCAUUUUUAUAUUUUCGGGUAUUUUGGUAGUAAUCAAUGGUAGCCUAUGUAAAGUUUAAAGAAAUUGGAAAAAAAAAUGGAGAAUGAACGGAUCUUGUAAAGAAAAGCAAAGAAAACUUAAACCUUAAUUUUUUUUUCUCUUUCAUUUUUUACUCUCUGCCUCACGAUAGAAGAAGAGGAAGGAGGUUGAGGCCUGGGGGAACUUGGGAAACUUUUUGUUUUAAUUUUUAAUUUUUGGGUUUUGAGUGACCCGGCAAUAAUGGGUUGUGGUGGGUUAUUUUUAAAAAAUAAAUUAUAGAUAUACAAUAAAUUUAUUUUUUCAAUGUUAGUGAUGAUAAGUUAUAAAAGUAACAUAUUUUAAUUUUAUUCUUAAUGAGUUUUUAGAUGAUUAUUUAUGCAAAUUGAUAAUUUCUAAUCCUUUAAAUUCAUGUUUCUAUACUUAUUAGAACAUUUGGUAGCAAAAGGAGCGAAAAAAAUAUAGCAAAAAUCAGACAAGUAGAGCAAAUUUCAAGAGCCACACGGGCUAGGCCUUCCCACACGGGUUGGACACACGGCCAUGUGAGCCACAUAGGAUGGACACACAGUCAUGUGCCAGACCGUGUUGAUUUCUUGACUCGUAUCCCAAACACGCGAAAAAACGCAAUUUUUGGGCUUUCUAGUCAUUCGAAAGUCUAUAAAUAUCAAAUAGAAGAAAAGAAUAUGAGACAUCAGAGAAUAUUGAAGAAAACAACUCGAAGAACACCACUGAAACCAACUCUAAAGCAGAUUUUCAUCAAGAUUGAAGGCCUCCUUUUAAUUUCUUUAAAAUUUUUAUGAUUUUCUUUAAUUCUUGUGGUUAUAUUGAUUUUGAGAUAAUUUUAUUUACAAUUAUGAAUUAAUUUCCUAGAUACCUAAGAAUGAUAAACUCUAUGAUGAAAUCUAUUAUUUGAUUUAUGUUUUAUGUGAUAAAUAUUUUAUUCUUAUUCUCAGUAAUGUGUGCUUAACUAUUAUUUUAAUGUUUCUAGGAUAUUAAUUCAUAUUUAUUAUGCUUAAACCAGAGGAGAAAAAUCCUUAUUUAAGAGUAGAUCUAACAUAAUUAAGUGGAGUUGCAUGCAAUCCUAAAAAUAGAAUGACAUAAAUCUAUCGAAAUAGAGUCAAAUCUAAUAAAGGAAGAGUUAAUGUGAUAAUAAGGAUUUUAAUUAAAAAGAAAUUUCAAUUAAUUAACCUAGAGUCAACUGUUCUUACUUAAGAAAGAGAUAAUAGCAAAAUUUAAGGAUUUUGCGGAUCAAGAUAUCAAGUGAAUAAAUCAUUUAAUUCAAAUUCAUAAUGAUAGAUUAAAUCUAAGUGAAUUCUUUCUUGGGUAUUAUUUUACUUCUUGGUUAUUAUUCAAUUAUUUUCCUAAUUUAUUCUCUCCUGAGUUCUUUGGUUAAUUAAUUUAGUAUAUUUAGCUUCAAUCAAUCAUAUCAAAUUAUCAAUUAAAUAAUAGGAAAAUGGUUAUUACUAGUACUUUUAGUGCUCGUGGAUACGAUACCUCUACUCAACGUUGCUAUACUACUUAUCGACAGGCGCACUCGUCUUUGUCAUAUUUUUAGUUAGUUUCGUGAUUUUUUUUUGUAUUAUAUUGUUGAUAAUAUAAGUAACGAAUUACUUAUAUUUCUAAAUAUAAUUUUAUAUUUCUUGUAUAUAAAUAAAAAUAAAGCAUGUCACCACUUGAAGAAUUCCCAACUAAAGGAUUGGAGGGUGCACCAAGUAAUGAUAUAGGUUAACACUUUGGAACUCUAGUGUCAUAUAUGAAAGGAAAUGUCGUAUGAAAACUUUGUAAUAAAGUUGUGAAAGAAGAAAUAACACGAUUUAAAGAGCACAUUGCUCAUAAAACCGGUAAUUUUGCACCAAGCCCUAAUUUAUUGGUAUGUAAUACUUUAUUAUUAUUUUUUAAAUAUUAUCGUAAAUUUAUCAAUAAAGAUUAUACAUAAUUGAUAAUAAUAUAAAAAGUAAAUUAUUUUUAUUUUAUUAACAGGUGUCCGUAGAGAAAGUAUGACGAAUAUACUGAAAGAAAGCAACACAAAGAAAAUAGACAAAAAGAGAACAAAUGAAUUCUUAUCCCAAUUAAAAGGAGGGAAGGAUAAACACGAGGGAUUCAUUGAUGAUGUUUCUGUUAGGCAAGCAACUCGAGAAAAUAUCUAAUCACAACACGAGUGGCAUAGAAGGAAGAAUUCAGACGAAGUACUAGUAGUUGGAGUAACAUUUAUGAAGAAGAGUGAUCUUCUCAUGGAUCAAUUAAAGAAUAUUAUGGAGAAAGAACAAAUAAAUUCAUCCAAAGUGAGUCUAAGUUUACCUUCAGGGAGCUAUACUUGAUUGGCUAGAAGCAAAAGCUCAAAACAACCAAAGAUAACUGGCUCUUUUUUAAAGACAUUACGCAGAAAGAUAGGUGAAGUAAUAUCUAAAUUUUUAAUAUAUGAACGACUUCCUUUUCAAUUAGCAAGCUCUCCAUGGUUGUAUAACUUAUUUCAAAUGUCAAAAGAAGUUGGACAAUGUGUAAAACUUCCAACACCUUAUGAGGUUUCAGAUGUGUAAUUGAAGUUAGAAUAUCAACAAAUUCGUGAUUGCGUAAAUGAACUAAAGACUCAUUGAAAUGAAUUGGGUGUAACUCUAACGUGUGAUAGUUGAACCAACAAUUUGAAUUAAAUGCACAUUAUUAAUUUCCUUGUUUAUUGUAAAUGAAUCGUUUUUUGAAAAUCUGUAGAUGUCUCGAGUGUUUAUAAUAGAGAUAUUGAAUUCUACUACAUUUUGUUAGAUUCAAUUGUAGAAGAAAUUGAAAAAAGUUACACUGUCCAAAUAGUGACUGAUGAGGCAACAAUAAAAGCCACUGGAAAAAAUUAAUGUUGAAAGAAAAUAUUUAUAUUGGACCUCAUGUACAACUCACUAUUUAGAUUUAUACUUUGAAGAUAUUAGGAAAAAGUCAAGUGUAGCAAAAGUGUUAGAUGAGGCUAAGAAAGUAACUUACUUUAUAUACAAUCACAUUUGAACUAUUGAUUUGAUGAAGAAGUAUACAUAAGGGAAGCAAAUACUUCAACCCUCUCUUACUCGAUUCGCAACUCAUUUCAUUAAACUUGAAAAGAUAAUAAGACAAAAAACAAGAUCUGAAAGAAAUAUUUAAUUCAAAGGUCAAUAUUUUAUAAUUACUUAAUAUAAUUACUUCAAUAUAACAACCUUUAAUUAUUUUAUUAAUUUCAAAUAAUUUAAAUUAUAUUAUUUUAAAAUUUUUCUUAUAAAUAUAUAGGAAUUUAAAUAACCAAAAUGGGGACGAUAAAAGUUAGGGCCUACUUAUGAAGCCAAAACAAUUGUUUUUUAAAAAAAAAUUAGAAAAAAGCCAAUGACCUAAUAAAAAUUUACGAGCCCCUAGUAAAAGUAUUGAGACUUGUGGAUAGUGAUGAAAAACUAACAAUGGGUUUUAUUUAUAAAAUUUUUGAUAAAACUAAAUGAGCAAUUCAACAAGAUUGUCCAUAUUUCACCGAGUACGAAAAGAUCAUUAACAUUAGAUGAAAUUUUAUGCUUUCUAACUUGCAUUCAGGUGGUAAGAUAAAAUAUUUCAUAUAAUUAAGAACUAUUUUUAUAUUUGAUUAUUUUAAGCUUUAGAUUAUUAUUUAAUAAUAUUCUUAUAAAUUUUACUUAGGUUAUUUUCUUGAUCGUCAAUUUCAAUUUGGGGUGGAGCAUUCUUAGGACGUACUAGUUGAAAUAUUAGAAGGUACAAGAUAAAUAAUUGAAAGAUUAGAACAUUCUCUUAAUACUCAAGUCAGAAUGAUUAAUCAAGUUAGAUUCAAAUAUUAUUAUUUGUAACUUAGUUACAUAAUUUGAAAUGAAAUUAUUUUUUUUCAUUUUUACUCUAUCUUUUUAUUUAUGCAAUUGUUACUAUUUAAAAAUAAACAUGAGAGAUUCGAUACUUCACAAGCACAAAGAGCUUAGAAGCAAAUGAAUCCAGAUAAAUAGUUAAUUAAAUUGUUUAAUUUAAUUUAAUUUUUAUUAUUUAAUUAUAUUGUACAUUUUGAAGUUAUUUUGAAAUUUAAAUAAUAUUAUGCAGCUAAGUGGUGGAUAAUAUAUGGCACAUGUAUUCCUGAGUUACAAAGAUUAACAAUUAAAGUACUUGGUCAAACAACUUCUGCAUCAAAUUGUGAACGAAAUUGCAACUCAUUAAGUUAUAUUCACACCAAGGCAAGAAAUAGGUUCAAUUAUAAAAAACUUGAGAAACUAGUGUUUACCUACUAUAAUAUAAGGCUUCAGAUAAAGCAUCAAAAAAAAAUGAGCAUUGAUGAUAUAAACACUAGUUUUAAUCCUAUCAGCCUUUAUCAUAUCUUUGUAGAUGUUGAUCGACUAAUCAGAUUUACUUCAAGAGAAAAAGAAUCUAUUGUUAGAUGGUGAAAAUGUCGGUGUGUUGCAUGUGGAUAACUCUAAUGGUGAAAUAAAUAUUGAUCAAUUUUAACAACAAAAGUCUCAUUCAAGUUCUAGUGCAACGCUAAGUUAGAGUGGCGAUAAACAUAAUGGUGAUGGUUUAAGACCAAUAGGUGACGAUGAUGGACAUAGUGGUAAUAGAGGUGAAAUUAGGUCUUCUAGUCAAUAUAGAGGACAAUGUGAAAUUGGUACCAGUAGUGGAUAUUUCCAUGAUAGUUCAGAAUUUGAUAGAAAUAUUUUUCCUGAACCUAGGAGAGAUAAAAGUGAACUUAGAGCUCCAUCAAAAUGAAAAGGCAAGAAGCAUACUUCUGUAUGCUUUUCAUCACGUAGGAGAUCGAGUUCUAAUAACAUUAGAUAUAGUGAUUCAUCCACUAGCACUCAAGGUUUUUAUCCACCUGAACAACCUUCAUAUUUUCAACUUUCACAUGGUUAUCCAUAACCAUAUGGUUAUUAUCCACCAUUUCCUAAUUAUGAUGUGUCAUUUCAGCUUCAAAUGCAUCAUCCACCACCAAUGUAUCAUUCUCCUCAAAUAUAUCCUCCAUAUCAAUUAUAUGAAAACCAAGUUAAAAAUCUUACAUUUUUUAUAUAUAUUUUUGGACAAAGGUCAUGAGAACCAAGUCAAAAACGCUUUGAAAGUGAAGGUGAAGAAUUUAAUCCUCCUCGUCAUUCCACUAAUUAGUGAAAACUAAAUUGUACCACUACCACUAUUUGUAAGGUAUUUUUUUUAAAGAAUAUUUUUGUUAAUGUUUUUAAUUUUAAUGAUAUUAAAACAUUUAAAAUACAUUUAUAGAUAAAUGAAUAAAGUAUAAAACAAUAAUUAAGAAUUGAAACAUGUUAAACUAUAUAUGAAAGUAGAAUGAGAGCGAGAAUAAGUGGUAGGAAAUAGGAAUAAUUAAUGAGAAUCUAUACAUUUAUAACGACCUAUUUUUUGCAGUAACAAUUUUGGACGACACUGCUACUGCUAUAUAACGGCCGCUAUUUCGCUACCCAACAAUUAUUUAAAUCCCUGAAUUUAACAAUUAUUGUCUAGUGAGGAUUAAAAUUUUAAAAAUUGAAAAGUACAAGGGUUAAAAAUGAACAAAGAUUAAAUCCACAACUUUCAAAAAGUACAGAGAGUAAUGACAAAAUUUACCAAUUUGUUAAUACUAUACUUAAGCUUGACCUGACCCGUUUCGAUCCAUAAACACUUUUAAUCCUAACCCAACUUUUUUUUAAGGAUUUAAUCCAUUUAAUUUUAAACUUAAGAUAAAAAUUUCCUAACUCUAUCCACAAAUAUUUUAAUAAAACUAUACUACUAUAUAUAAAAAGUCCAUCCUUCUUUGACACCCUGUCCUUUACUUUUCUUUUACAUUACUAAUAAUAAUGGUUAAAUUUCUAUUGAGGCCCCUCUACUUUUUAAUUAUACAAAAAUGGUCAAAUUUUUAUUUCAAUCCUUAUAACAUGCUUAAAUUUAAUAUUUGAUUUUUAUACUUUAAUUUCAUACAUAGUUUGCUACCUCAAAGUUUAUAAUGUUAUUAGUUAGACUAAAUAUUUUAUUUUAAAUUAAAAUAUUAAAGUAAAUUUAAAGAAUUGUUAACGUCAUUUUUUUUUGUUAUAUUUAGUCCUAUUACAAUGCCAUUUUUCUGACAUGAUCAUGGAAUGAAUACUUUUUUAAAAUUUAGAAUGUCACACCAAUAAGAUUUGAAAAAAUAAAAGGACUAAAUUCUUAAAAAUAAAAAUAUAAAAAUUAGAUUCUAAAAAUAUAGAGAGUAGAUUAUAACCUUUAACUUUUAACUAUUUAAUCUAAAAAUAAUUAAGCAUGAAAUGAACCAUACGAAUUAAAAAUAAAAGGUAAGAUUUGGUGAAACAAUCCCACGAGAUAAAGACAGAAAUAAUUGUCUUUUCCUAAGUCAUUACACCACAUAUAAUUUAGAGAUGCAAACAAGAACCAGAAGAAUUAAAAGGUUGUGUUUGGUAGUAAUUAUUUAGUAAACAAAAUAUUAGAAAUUUAACUUUAAGUUAUGGUUUAUUAGUGGAAUGUUCAUUUUCUUUAAAAAUAGUUUGAGCUUCAAUUACGAUAGUAGAAAAAACAUUAAAAAUUGGGGAAAGAAUAAUUAAUUAUUUUCUUUCAGGACUUAUAUUUUUUUUUUUUCAAAUCUUGUUAUAUAAAUAUUAUUCAAUGAAAUAUUGCUUACUCUCACAAAACAAUUCUUUGUUUAUCUUUGAGAUUAUAAUUAGUCUUGAUUUAUGCUUUGUAUUUAUAUUGGAUAAUUUUACUAUUUAAAAAUAUUUGAAUAAUUUAAAAAUAUAGUUAUUAAUUGAAAUGUAGAUAUUAGAUCAGUUAAAGACUUUAGGUUAUAAUGAUGUACGACGGUCCGUUUCAUAAAAUAUUAAUUUUAACCGAAAUGGAUAUGCAGGGUUUAUCCUCCCACAAAGAAAAGCAUGUUCAGGGGUUAUCAUUUGAAACGAGAUGGGCCAAACUUUGGUAGCUUGCAGUAGACUUACCAGUUGGGUUCCAUCGGCGUUUGCCGCCGAAGCUCUAGCUGUAAUUCAUGGCCUUCGCUUUGCACUCGAUCUUGACUUCCAAUCUGUGAUUUUAGAAGGGGGCUCAAGGUCGGUCAUCCAAAAAAUAGUGGAUAAUGGGAAGGAUUUAUCGGAAAUAAGCGCGCUUACCUGGGAAGCAAAGGAACUCGCGAAAUCUUUUCGGUUUUGCAGGUUCCAUUUUGUAGAUCGAUCCGGAAACAAGGCAGCGCAUGCAAUGACGCGGGACGGGCUGAGGAGAGACGAGGAUAGAUUCUGGGUGGAGGAGGUUCCCGAUUUGGCUACUGUGACUGUCGAUGAUGAUUACAGAUCUGUAGACCCUCCGUAGGUGUGCUAUUCAGGGUUGGUUUUGAGGGGAUUCAUUUUCACUUUUGGCCCUCGUAUGUCUUUGUUGCUCCCUUGGGUCUUCUUUGUUUGGUUAAAUGGUAGUGAAGGGAGCAUCGAUGGUCGGAAUUUCUGUAAAUUUUGUUUAGUCUUGUUUGGUGUGGGUUCUGUUUCUUUUUUGUUUGUGUGUUGGUUUUGUUUUGGUCAGGUUGUUUUGGGUGAGUCUGUUUAUCUGACGUCUUAAUUGUUUUUUGGGUUUUGUUUUGACGGUUUAAUUUUCCAAUAAGAGUGACCGGUAUUUAUUCAAAAAAAUGUAUAAAGAUAAUUAAUUUUAAAUUAUAUAAACGAAUCGACCUCCUAUGUUUUAUACAAUUAUAUUAUUAUAUAAUCCUGAUAUGUUUCAAAAGAAUCCUAUGAUAAAUAUUUAAAAAAUAAUUGUUA
rnacentral:lncRNA from 1 species